AUACGGAGGGUGCAAGCGUUACUCGGAAUCACUGGGCGUAAAGCGCGCGCAGGCGGGCUGAUAAGCUGGAUGUGAAAGCCUACGGCUCAACCGUAGAACUGCAUCCAAAACUGUCAGUCUAGAGUCUGGGAGGGGAAGAUGGAAUUAGUUGUGUAGGGGUAAAAUCCGUAGAGAUAACUAGGAAUACCAAAAGCGAAGGCGAUCUUCUGGAACAGUACUGACGCUGAGGCGCGAAAGCGUGGGGAGCAAACAGGAUUAGAAACCCUAGUAGUCC
rnacentral:rRNA from 1 species